rnacentral:pre_miRNA from 1 species
AGGAGCUGAUUUCAUUUGGGAGCAUAGAUGUUUUGUACCCAGUUUCUAGCACCACAUGAAAUCAGUGUUCU